GAUGAACGCUGGCGGCGUGCUUAACACAUGCAAGUCGAACGGUGAAGCAGGAGCUUGCUCUUGUGGACCAGUGGCGAACGGGUGAGUAACACGUGAGCAACCUGCCCCUGACUCUGGGAUAAGCGCUGGAAACGGCGUCUAAUACUGGAUAUGUUAUGUGACCGCAUGUUCUGCAUCUGGAAAGAAUUUCGGUUUGGGAUGGGCUGGCGGCCUAUCAGCUUGUUGGUGAGGUAAUGGCUCACCAAGGGGGCGACGGGUAGCCGGCCUGAGAGGGUGACCGGCCACACUGGGACUGGGACACGGCCCAGACUCCUACGGGAGGCAGCAGUUGGGAAUAUUGCACAAUGGGCGGAAGCCUGAUGCAGCAACGCCGCGUGAGGGAUGACGGCCUACGGGUUGUAAACCUCUUUCGGCACCGACGAAGCGCAAGUGACGGUAGGUGCAGAAGAAGGACCGGCCAACUACGUGCCAGCCGCCGCAGUAA
rnacentral:rRNA from 1 species